AUAAUUUAAUUUUGGAUGUAACGCGUCUUCUAAUUGGCUGACUUUAUUUUGUUAUGAGCCCAUAGACAUAAUUUAGUCAUGUGACCGUGACGUCAUUAACGUUUUUUCAUGGUUUUCUACGGUUUAAAAUGGAAUUUAGAAUUAAAUUAUAAGAAAUAACUGUAAUAUUUUUUCUGUCUAUUCGAAAUAGAAUAAAAAAUGUGGUGCACACUGUUAAAUAACCCGCUACGCGCGUUAUUCAGUGUGCACCAAAUUUUUUAUGUUAUUUCUUCAUAGACAGAAAAAAUAUUACAGUCAUUCCUUAAAUAACCUUUGUGAUUUGAAUAUAAAUAAAAAUGGCCUUCAACACGGAGUCUUGGCUCACACCGAACAGCAAGCUAUAAAGGUUGAAUACUUAAAAUUCUUUACUUGAUUUUUUGUUAUGGUUUGACCAUCAAUUUUCCUAAUAUGAUAUCGCACGUUCUUUCAGAUUAUUUUUUUACUUAAUUGGCUUUAAAAGUUACAAUGCAUGUUGUCGUCUGUUUAUGUAGUUCAUAUGUGUUUUUCGUUUCUCGCUGGUUUUCCCGUUUGAAUGGUUUUACACUAGUAGUUUUGGGGCCCUCUAUAGCUUGCUGUUCGGUGUGAGCCUAGGCUGCGUGUUGCAGGUCGUACCUUGACCUAUAAGGGUUUACUUUUAUGAAUUAUUACUUGGAAGGAGAGUUGUCUCAUUGGCACUCAUACC
rnacentral:lncRNA from 1 species